GACGAACGCUGGCGGCGUGCUUAACACAUGCAAGUCGAACGGAAAGGCCCCUUUGGGAGUACUCGCGAGGCGAACACGUGAGUAUAACGUGAGUGACCUGCCCUUGACUUCGGGGUAACUUCCGGGGACUGUGGCUAAAAUCCGAGAGGAAUCCUUGCUUCAGUGUGGGGGUUGGAAAGCUUUGGCGGUUUUGGAUGGACUCGCGGCUUAUCAGCUUGUUGGUGGGGUAGUGGCUUACCAAGGCUUGGACGGGUAGCCGGCCUGAGAGGGCGACCGGCCACAUUGGGACUGAGAUACGGCCCAGACUCCUACGGGAGGCAGCAGUGGGGAAUAUUGCACAAUGGGCGGAAGCCUGAUGCAGCAACGCCGCGUGCGGGAUGACGGCCUUCGGGUUGUAAACCGCUUUCAGCAGGGGCGAAGCUUGUGGUGACGGUACCUGCAGAAGAAGCACCGGCUAACUACGUG
rnacentral:rRNA from 1 species